AGAAGGAAAAAUCGAUAUUGAAAAUAUUUUUUUUAAAAUAAUAUUUUUCUCGAGAAUUCAAUAAGGGUACGAUAAAUUUUGAAUUAUUUAACCAACAUAGUAUAACAGUAUUGACUCAAGUAUUUCAUUAUUUUCAAAAUAGUAGCCCGGGGUCAAAAGGCUACAAUUCAAAUAUUAGUGGCCUCAUGCCAUAGUUGCCGAAUUCAAUUUGCACCACACAAUACAAAAAGA
rnacentral:lncRNA from 1 species